rnacentral:tRNA from 1 species
GGGUGCAUAGCUCAGCUGGGAGAGCGCCUGGUUCGCAUCUAGGAGGUCGCGGGUUCGAGUCCCGCUGCAUCCACCA